GAUGAACGCUGGCGGCGUGCCUAACACAUGCAAGUCGAGCGAACAGACGAGGCUUUCUCUCUUCUGUCGUUAGCGGCGGACGGGUGAUUCACACGUGGAUAACCUUCCUAUAAGACUGGGAUAACUUCGGGAAUCCUGAUCUAAUACCGGAUCAUAUAUUGAACCGCAUGGUUCAUUAGUCCUAGCCGUUUUUGCUGUCACUUAUAGAUAUUUCCUCGCUGAUUUAGCUAGUUGGUAAGGUAACGGCUUACUAUGGCAACUAUGCGUAGCCGACCUGAGAGAGGGAUCGGCAAAACUGGAACUGGGAAACGGUCAAGACUCCUACGGGAGGAAGAAGUAGGGAAUCUUGAGAAAUGGGCGAAAGCUUGACGGAGCAAGGCCGCGUGAGUGAUGAAGGUCUUCGGAUGGAAAAAAUCUGUUAUUAGGGAAGAACAAAUGUGUAUAAAACUAUGGAAGAGUUGACGGUACCUAAUGAAAAAGCAACGGCUAACUACGUG
rnacentral:rRNA from 1 species